AUUGAACGCUGGCGGCAGGCCUAACACAUGCAAGUCGAGCGGCAGCGACUUAACUGAACCUUCGGGGAACGUUAAGGGCGGCGAGCGGCGGACGGGUGAGUAAUGCCUGGGAAUAUGCCCUGAUGUGGGGGAUAACUAUUGGAAACGAUAGCUAAUACCGCAUAAUCUCUUCGGAGUAAAGAGGGGGACCUUCGGGCCUCUCGCGUCAGGAUUAGCCCAGGUGGGAUUAGCUUGUUGGUGAGGUAAUGGCUCACCAAGGCAACGAUCCCUAGCUGGUCUGAGAGGAUGAUCAGCCACACUGGAACUGAGACACGGUCCAGACUCCUACGGGAGGCAGCAGUGGGGAAUAUUGCACAAUGGGGGAAACCCUGAUGCAGCCAUGCCGCGUGUGCGAAGAAGGCCUUCGGGUUGUAAAGCACUUUCAGUAGGGAGGAAGGUAGUGCAGUUAACACCUGCACUAUUUGACGUUACCUACAGAAGAAGCACCGGCUAACUCCGUGCCAGCAGCCGCGGUAAUACGGAGGGUGCGAGCGUUAAUCGGAAUUACUGGGCGUAAAGCGCAUGCAGGCGGCCUGUUAAGUCAGAUGUGAAAGCCCGGGGCUUAACCUCGGAAUUGCAUUUGAAACUGGCAGGCUAGAGUCUUGUAGAGGGGGGUAGAAUUUCAGGUGUAGCGGUGAAAUGCGUAGAGAUCUGAAGGAAUACCAGUGGCGAAGCGGCCCCCUGGACAAAGACUGACGCUCAGAUGCGAAAGCGUGGGGAGCAAACAGG
rnacentral:rRNA from 1 species